AGAGACAUAGUAUAAUUUAAUACAUUUCAUUUACACUGAAAAUAUAUUCUAAAGGUGGAUUGUCUUUA
rnacentral:tRNA from 1 species